GAUGAACGCUGGCGGCGUGCCUAAUACAUGCAAGUCGAGCGAACAGACGAGGAGCUUGCUCCUCUGACGUUAGCGGCGGACGGGUGAGUAACACGUGGAUAACCUACCUAUAAGACUGGGAUAACUUCGGGAAACCGGAGCUUAUACCGGAUAAUAUAUUGAACCGCAUGGGUCAAUGGUGAAAGACGGUUUUGCUGUCACUUAUAGAUGGAUCCGCGCCGCAUUAGCUAGUUGGUAAGGUAACGGCUUACCAAGGCGACGAUGCGUAGCCGAACUGAGAGGGUGAUCGGCCACACUGGAACUGGGACACGGUCCAGACGCCUACGAGAGGCAGCAGUAGGGAAUCUUCCGCAAUGGGCGAAAGCCUGACGGAGCAACGCCGAGUGAGUGAUGAAGGUCUUCGGAUCGUAAAACUCUGUCAUUAGGGAAGAACAGAUGUGUAAGUAACUAUGCACGUCUUGACGGUACCGAAUCAGAAAGCCACGGCUAACUACGUG
rnacentral:rRNA from 1 species